rnacentral:rRNA from 1 species
AACCUGGUUGAUCCUGCCAGUAGUCAUAUGCUUGUCUCAAAGACUAAGCCAUGCACGUCUAAGUACAAACUAAAUGAUGGUGAAACUGCAAAUGGCUCAUUACAACGGUUAUGAUGUACCCGGGAGUUCCGAUGGAUAUUUCCAGUAACACUAGAGCUAAUACAUGCUCCUGCGUUUAUUAGUUUCGCACAGUCCGUCGCUGAGUCAUGGUAAACAGUUGAUCGACUCGACGUCCCGGAACAGUUUCCGCCCCAUCAGCUUCGAUGGUUGGGUAUUGGCCUACCAUUGCAACAACGGGUAACGAGGAAUUAGGGUUUGAUUUCGGAGAGGGAGCCUGAGAAACGGCUACCACAUCUACGGAUGGCAGCAGGCGCGCAAAUUACCCAAUGCAGACACUGUGAGGUAGUGACGAGAAAAUAAUAAAGCGGGACUUCUGUUUCGCUAUUAUAAUGAGGAAUAACCA